GGGGUUGUAAGACACAGGCAGGCCAAGCCGUGACGCGGCCGGGAAGUUACCAAACCCUGCUCUAGCAGAAGGACCCUGGAAAGGGCCGCCGUAGAGAGUGAAAGCCUCGUAUGCGAAGGGGCCAGGGUCUUCCUGACCUGUGUUCUUGAGUACCACGGGACACGAGAAAUCCCGUGGGAAGCCGGGGGGACCACCCUCCAAAGCUAAACACUUCCAGCAACCGAUAGUGCAGAAGUACCGUGAGGGAAAGGUGAAAAAGCACCCCGGGAGGGGAGUUAAAAGUCCCUGAAACCGCGUGCCUACAAACCGUCGGGGCCCCGAUUCGUCGGGGUGACGGCGUGCCUAUUGGAGAAUGAGCCGGCGAGUGAAUCUCAGUGGCGCGGUUAAGCAAGGAGACUUGCGGAGCCGCAGCGAAAGCGAGUCUGAACAGGGCGUUUCCUUCGGGAACGUCGCUGGGAUUCGGCCCGAAACCUGGUGAGCUACCCAUGGCCAGGGUGAAGCCUCGAUAAUAUCGAGGUGGAGGCCCGAACCAUUUGACGGUGCAAAGUCACUGGAUGAGCUGUGGGUAGAGGUGAAAUGCCAAUCGAACCAGGAGAUAGCUGGUUCUCCCCGAAAUGCAUUGAGGUGCAGCCUCAGGACAAGUCUCUUGGAGGUAGGGCACUGGAUGGGCUAGGGGGCAAAACGCUUACCAAACCCAACCAAACCACGAAUGCCAAGAGAUAUGCCUGGGAGUGAGCCCGUGGGGGA
rnacentral:rRNA from 1 species